rnacentral:rRNA from 1 species
UACAGAGGGUGCUAGCGUUGUUCGGAAUCAUUGGGCGUAAAGGGCGUGUAGGCGGUUUGUUAAGUCAUGUGUGAAAUCCCUCGGCUCAACCGGGGAAGGACGCAUGAAACUGGCAAGCUAGAGUACCAAAGAGGGGGGUGGAAUUCCCGGUGUAGCGGUGAAAUGCGUAGAUAUCAGGAGGAACACCUGUGGCGAAAGCGGCUCACUGGACCAUAACUGACGCUGAUGCACGAAAGCUAGGGGAGCAAACAGG